rnacentral:lncRNA from 1 species
AUGAACAGCAACGGUCCGUCAAUAUCCAACACAGUCUAUGUACCCUGUGCAAUCUCCUGGGAAUCCAGUAUAUUAUCCUCAGAUCUUACAUCUUCCUCAGGCUCCACCCUAUACUGACGCUCCGCCUGCAUACCAGAAUUUGUUGUCCAAACUUUGUUUCUUCAGGGGCUGCUAUAGACCCCACCAGGUCAGCUGUAUUUCCUGGCACCUCAUUAUAUCUGCCGAUGUCCCAGUUUGUGGCUGUUGAGCCUUUAGGCUCCACAAUCCCCAUAACUUAUUAUCUAGUUGGUUCCAUCGUAUCCACCUCGCUCAGCAGUGCUGGUGGCAGGAGGGCAUGAUGCAGGUGCCAGAUUUGGAGCUGGCGCCCCCGAUGGCAACAUUCCUCCUCCACCUCCUGGAUGCCCUCUGAACGCUGCCCAACUUGCAAUCAUGCAGGGAGCCAAAGUCCUUGUAACUCAGCGCAAGGGAAACUUCUUCACGGAUGAAUCAGAUGGUGGUUACUUCAUUUGGUGA